rnacentral:rRNA from 1 species
UACGUAGGGUGCAAGCGUUGUCCGGAAUUAUUGGGCGUAAAGGGCUCGUAGGCGGUCUGUUGCGUCAGGAGUGAAAACUCGGGGCUUAACCCCGAGCCUGCUUCUGAUACGGGCAGACUAGAGGUAUGCAGGGGAGAACGGAAUUCCUGGUGUAGCGGUGAAAUGCGCAGAUAUCAGGAGGAACACCAGUGGCGAAGGCGACUACCUGGCCUGUUCUUGACGCUGAGGCGCGAAAGCUAGGGGAGCAAACGGG